UAGGGAAUCUUCCACAAUGGACGCAAGUCUGAUGGAGCAACGCCGCGUGAGUGAAGAAGGUUUUCGGAUCGUAAAGCUCUGUUGUUGGUGAAGAAGGAUAGAGGCAGUAACUGGCCUUUAUUUGACGGUAAUCAACCAGAAAGUCACGGCUAACUACGUGCCAGCAGCCGCGGUAAUACGUAGGUGGCAAGCGUUGUCCGGAUUUAUUGGGCGUAAAGCGAGCGCAGGCGGAAUGAUAAGUCUGAUGUGAAAGCCCACGGCUCAACCGUGGAACUGCAUCGGAAACUGUCAUUCUUGAGUGCAGAAGAGGAGAGUGGAACUCCAUGUGUAGCGGUGGAAUGCGUAGAUAUAUGGAAGAACACCAGUGGCGAAGGCGGCUCUCUGGUCUGCAACUGACGCUGAGGCUCGAAAGCAUGGGUAGCGAACAGGAUUAGAUACCCUGGUAGUCCAUGCCGUAAACGAUGAGCGCUAGGUGUUGGGGACUUUCCGGUCCUCAGUGCCGCAGCAAACGCAUUAAGCGCUCCGCCUGGGGAGUACGACCGCAAGGUUGAAAC
rnacentral:rRNA from 1 species